ACUUGCGAUCUUCUCGCCGGUGACCGGGCUGAAGGACGGCAUGUCGCCGCCGGUGUAGAGGUCCUUGGCGACGCCCAUUUUAUCGAGGAGCGCGGCUGCCUCGCUCGCGACAUCGAUUUUCU
rnacentral:sRNA from 1 species